GACGAACGCUGGCGGCGUGCCUAAUACAUGCAAGUUGAGCGCUGAAGGUUGGUACUUGUACCGACUGGAUGAGCAGCGAACGGGUGAGUAAUGCGUGGGGAAUCUGCCUUUGAGCGGGGGACAACAUUUGGAAACGAAUGCUAAUACCGCAUAAAAACUUUAAACACAAGUUUUAAGUUUGAAAGAUGCAAUUGCAUCACUCAAAGAUGAUCCCGCGUUGUAUUAGCUAGUUGGUGAGGUAAAGGCUCACCAAGGCGAUGAUACAUAGCCGACCUGAGAGGGUGAUCGGCCACAUUGGGACUGAGACACGGCCCAAACUCCUACGGGAGGCAGCAGUAGGGAAUCUUCGGCAAUGGACGAAAGUCUGACCGAGCAACGCCGCGUGAGUGAAGAAGGUUUUCGGAUCGUAAAACUCUGUUGGUAGAGAAGAACGUUGGUGAGAGUGGAAAGCUCAUCAAGUGACGGUAACUACCCAGAAAGGGACGGCUAACUACGUG
rnacentral:rRNA from 1 species